rnacentral:lncRNA from 1 species
AGGCGUAUGUGCAACUGAACCUUCAAGUAGAGACAUAAGAUGAUUUUUAACUUUGAUUAGAAGCUUUUCAAGAUAAUCUCUUCCUGUUUUGUCCUCUGGCAAGAGCUCCCCUUCCUUCAUUUGGUCACAGAGUGGUUUUCUUUUAAAAGAACUAUUCAGCUUUUGGAAAACCGACAAGAAGAAACUGAGAGAAUUCACACACCACAGAAAACUGGGUACACAGCUGCUACUAAACUUCAUUGUCCUUUUAUCUCCAGCCUCUCCACCAACAGAAAGACACAGAAGGAAAGAGAAAGAGAGACAGAGAAUGAAUCUGAAGUCUGAAACCUUGUAGUUCGUUUGAACCAGUCAGUUCUUGUUCAGAAAGGAAGAGGAAGGGCAGGAGUGGCUAUUGGCGCCAGAGGGAGGGUUAGUGACUCAGUCCUACCCUCCUAACAGAUUAAACACCAAGGAACACAAGCCUUGGAACCAGACCUGGCUCUGACCCUCUGCCCCGCCCCUUGUAGUGUGACAGGGAAGCUCCAGUUCCCUUAUCAUACCUCAAUUUUAUCCAUAAAGUGGCGACAUGAGGAAAAUGCCCAGCAUUUAAGUUUCACUCUUAUUGCCCAGGCUGGAGUGCAAUGGCACAAUCUCGGCUCACCACAACCUCCGUCUCCCGGGUUCAAGUGAUUCUCCUGCUCCAGGCUCUCAAGUAGCUGAGAUUACAGACUAACGAUCUUCUGUUGGUCCCUUCUGGUAGGGCCGAGGAGACCCCAGCAUCACGGUACCACCUACUCAUCCUCCAAUAUCCAGCUGGCACCUCCUCUGGGAAGACUUCCUGGAUAUUUCAGGUUGAUUUAGCAGCAUGCUAUGUGUAUCACACUGAAAUGGCCUACAUCCAGAAGCUGACACAUGGUAAAGAAUUAAAAGUUUCUUGAAAGAAUGCAUUAAUGCAACUUAUUUUCUGCUUCUAUUGUUUUUCUUGUAGUAUACCAACUAGGACACUUUUUGAAGAAACUGCAAUUCUUCUCAGCAUUCAAUUCUGUCCAGUGGCAAAGGUGAUCAGGAGAUUCAAAGUAGUAAAAAUAAUCCCCAAAGUAGUGCUACCACUAGGCCCUGGAAACCAACCUCACAUACUAAAGACAGACUGAAGAUCUGCAUUGAGCUAAGCCCUAAUUAUGUUCAGUGUUCUUAACUUUGAAUCUAGACUCCCAGGCUUUGUACUAUGCCGUAACCAAUUGGGCAACUAAAUGAUGACCGGUACAGCACAGCUGCUAAGAUCACAGACUAAUCCAAACUGCCCGGGUCUGUACCUUGCUUCAGCCACUGUCUAGCUGUGUGUCUUGGGCAAGUUAGUUAAUCCCUUUAUGCCUCAGUUUGCUUAUCUGUAAGAUGGGAACAAUAUUAACAGUACUGACCUCAUAGAAUAAAUGAUUUCACAUACGUGAAUGGUUACAACAGUGCUUUGCACAAAUUAAGUACUACUUAACCAGCUAUUUUUUGUAUUUCUUCUAUUAACUGGCAAACACAGAGAGAGAGGAAUAUCUAAGAAGCAAAUCAGAGGUAAUUUCAGGGUGUCUCUUUGCUGUGUGGAGACACUCCUGGCUCUCCUAGUGCCCACUUAAUUAAUUCACAGAUCAGAAUUGCAAGACCUAUGUCUAAUAUUGCCAGGGGUCUGCAGAAGAGACAUUGUCCUCCUUCCAGCUGGCUCCUCCAACACAGCCAAAGCAACAUGGGUUGUUCAUUCCUUACACAUCAACUAUAGCUGUGGGAACAAUGAGUUCUGCCUUUUUUUCCCUGUCCACUGCUUUCAUAUUUAAGGUUGCUCCUGUGUCAGUAGUGAUUAUCUCAGAAGAUCUCCCUGUAUAUAAGGCCCCAUGAACAAGAAAAUUUUGUAUCAAUUAACAAGAGACAAGCUUAGGGGAAGAAGUGCUUCCUGAACAUCACCUGCAGACUAGACUAUAGCACUCUUGUGGGAUCCCAACAAAUACGUCGUCCACCCCGCUCCCAACUAUUUAAAGAAUAUUUGAAAGCACUCGAAUUCUUUGGCAUAAACACUCUUUGAAAUGCAAGUUAUGUCGAAUCCUAGAAUUUUACUUCUGGAAGAUGUGGUGGGAGAUUAUAUAAAAUGGGGAAUCAGUGACCCAGCACCAUGGCUUCCCAGCUCCUCUGCACGCCCCCCCAUAUUUCCCAACCCUUGCAUUUGAAAUUUAAAAUGUUCUUUAAAAAAUUAAAGGCUUUCAGUGUUGAGUGAUAGUCACGCACUGCAUAAGGAUAUUUCAGUCAACAAUGGACCAAAUAUAUGACAGUAGUCGCGUAAGAUUAUAAUGAAGCUGAAAAAUUCCUACAGCCUAAUGAUGUCACAGCUGUCAUGUCAUAGCAUUUUUUUUAAAUAUAGUGUAGCCUAAGUUUAUAAUAUUUAUAAAGUCUACAAUAGUGUAACGUCCUAGGCCUUCACAUUCACUCACCACUCACUGACUCACCCAGAGCAACUUCUAGUCCCACAAGCUCCAUGCA